UUUGUGCGCGUGAAAGAAUCCGGUCCGGUUCAAGAUGAUAGAAAACCUUUUUAUAAAUCGAAUUAUUAUAUAUUAUAUAUGUAGUCCAAAACAUAGCUGUUUUUCUUCGUAUUGGAUCUUUCUGGAAGGAAGGAGCACGCAGCAACCCUACCCCAACCCAAACCCUAAAUCCCAAUCUUCAUUUCGAUUAUCUUCCUCUACUACUUCCUUCAGGCGCUGAUUUAUCCGUACGCGAUUCGGGGUAGACUGCUGCUGCGGGGUUUCUUCUUUCACAUAUAAGUACUGAACUAAUUGAAGAUGAAUUAUGGGUUAUCUCUUAUGAAUACUUUUGGAUGACAUUUUUGGAAUAUGGUUUGUAUGUACCAGUUUGCAUUUAUAUGGAUUUUUAUAUGACUUUUUUGUAAAAUCAUACUAGAUUUAUGAUUGUUUUAGCCUUUUUUUUUCCUGAUUUUAACUCCAUUGUCGAAGAAGAACAAAUAUAUAGCCUAAAAUGAUUGUUGGAAAAUCUAAAGUAAACAAGAAAUUAUGGGUUUGUGCCAACUGACCUCACCCUAGUCCGAAUUCAGUUCCAAUCCCUAAAAUCCCACCCUGGCUAUGAGCUUUAAAUUAAAAACCUGAAAAAAAUCAUAUUAGUAAUUUGCACAUCCCACAAACACCCAACAAUUUGACCACUGACCUCUGGUGUGCUAUUUCGGUUAGCUUUCAGCUGCAAGUACUUACCCUCAUCAUUUUGCCUUGAUUCUCUGACUUCUACCGCUCAACCUUGUUCUUGUUUCUGUCUAACUCAACUACACGUCCGCCAUCUGCUGCAAGGUUUUGGGAGACUAAAAUCAUCUGCUACCGAUAUCACUAGUGUGGAUUCUCUUUUGUUAAGGAGAAAUGUAGGAAUCAGAUCAAUUUAACUUUGUUGGUUCUGUCAGUUAAGAAUUCUGUAAAAUAUUGAGGGGAAUUAUACUUGUUUAAUGAGACUCGGUUAUUGUUUGUGCUUCAUUUCUCCCAGGUUUGACAAAAUAAUUCAUAGAAAGUUAGUCUUU